CUUACCUUAAUAGUAAGAGUGACGGGCGAUGUGUGCAUAUUUUAGAGCUAAAAUCAAAACUAUAAUCUUUUAAUUUUUACUAUCAAAUCCACCUUCAUUAAUUCUUUUAAAAAUUAAAUCCGUUUAAAUAAAUUUAUUGUAACCCAUCUCUUCUUAAACAUAAGCUACACCUUGAUCUGAUAUAAAUUCUAAAUUAAAUUAUUGAAAAUUAUUAUUCUAAUAAAAUAUUCUGAUAACGACGGUAUAUAAACUGAAGUACAAAUUUAAGUGAGGUACAUCGUGGAUUAUCAAUUACAGGACAGGUUCCUCUGAAUAGACUAAAAUACCGCCAAAUUUUUUAAGUUUCAAGAACAUAACUAAUACUACCUAAGUGCUUAUUUUUACAUUUUAAAUAAUA
rnacentral:rRNA from 1 species